UACAGAGGGUGCGAGCGUUAAUCGGAAUUACUGGGCGUAAAGCGCGCGUAGGCGGCUUUGCAAGCCGGAUGUGAAAUCCCCGGGCUUAACCUGGGAACUGCAUUCGGGACUGCAUUGCUAGAGUAUGGGAGAGGGAAGUGGAAUUUCAGGUGUAGCGGUGAAAUGCGUAGAUAUCUGAAGGAACAUCAGUGGCGAAAGCGACUUCCUGGACCAACACUGACGCUGAGUGAGCGAAAGCUAGGGGAGCGAACAGG
rnacentral:rRNA from 1 species